rnacentral:misc_RNA from 1 species
GAUGAAGAACGUAGCGAAAUGCGAAAAGUAGUGUGAAUUGCAGAAUUCAGUGAAUCAUCGAAUCUUUGAACGCACAUUGCGCCCGCCAGCAUUCUGGCGGGCAUGCCUGUUCGAGCGUCAUUUCAACCCUCGACCUCCCUUUGGGGAAGUCGGCGUUGGGGACCGGCAGCACACCGCCGGCCCUGAAAUGGAGUGGCGGCCCGUCCGCGGCGACCUCUGCGUAGUAAACCAACUCGCACCGGAACCCCGACGUGGCCACGCCGUAAAACACCCAACUUCUGAACGUUGACCUCGAAUCAGGUAGGACUACCCGCUGAACUUAAGCAUAUCAAUAAGCGGAGGA